UACGGGGGGGCAAGCGUUGUUCGGAAUUACUGGGCGUAAAGGGCGCGUAGGCGGAAUGGCAAGUCGGUCGUGAAAUCCUUCGGCUCAACCGAAGAACGUCGAUCGAAACUGCCGUUCUUGAGGAUUGCAGAGGAGACUGGAAUUCCCGGUGUAGCGGUGAAAUGUGUAGAUAUCGAGAGGAACACCUGCGGCGAAGGCGGGUUGCUGGGCUGACACUGACGCUGAAGCGCGAAAGCUAGGGGAGCGAACGGG
rnacentral:rRNA from 1 species